rnacentral:rRNA from 1 species
GAAGGUGUGUCGUGAGGCAUGCUGGAGGUAUCAGAAGUGCGAAUGCUGACAUAAGUAACGAUAAAGCGGGUGAAAAGCCCGCUCGCCGGAAGACCAAGGGUUCCUGUCCAACGUUAAUCGGGGCAGGGUGAGUCGACCCCUAAGGCGAGGCCGAAAGGCGUAGUCGAUGGGAAACGGGUUAAUAUUCCCGUACUUGGUGUUACUGCGAAGGGGGGACGGAGAAGGCUAUGUUGGCCGGGCGACGGUUGUCCCGGUUUAAGCGUGUAGGUGUGUGUUCCAGGUAAAUCCGGUUCACUUUAACACUGAGGCGUGAUGACGAGGCACUACGGUGCUGAAGUAACAAAUGCCCUGCUUCCAGGAAAAGCCUCUAAGCAUCAGGUAACAUCAAAUCGUACCCCAAACCGACACAGGUGGUCAGGUAGAGAAUACCAAGGCGCUUGAGAGAACUCGGGUGAAGGAACUAGGCAAAAUGGUGCCGUAACUUCGGGAGAAGGCACGCUGACACGUAGGUGAAGUGAUUUACUCACGGAGCUGAAGUCAGUCGAAGAUACCAGCUGGCUGCAACUGUUUAUUAAAAACACAGCACUGUGCAAACACGAAAGUGGACGUAUACGGUGUGACGCCUGCCCGGUGCCGGAAGGUUAAUUGAUGGGGUCAGCGCAAGCGAAGCUCCUGAUCGAAGCCCCGGUAAACGGCGGCCGUAACUAUAACGGUCCUAAGGUAGCGAAAUUCCUUGUCGGGUAAGUUCCGACCUGCACGAAUGGCGUAAUGAUGGCCAGGCUGUCUCCACCCGAGACUCAGUGAAAUUGAACUCGCUGUGAAGAUGCAGUGUACCCGCGGCAAGACGGAAAGACCCCGUGAACCUUUACUAUAGCUUGACACUGAACAUUGAGCCUUGAUGUGUAGGAUAGGUGGGAGGCUUUGAAGUGUGGACGCCAGUCUGCAUGGAGCCGACCUUGAAAUACCACCCUUUAAUGUUUGAUGUUCUAACGUGGACCCGUUACCCGGGUUGCGGACAGUGUCUGGUGGGUAGUUUGACUGGGGCGGUCUCCUCCUAAAGAGUAACGGAGGAGCACGAAGGUUGGCUAAUCCUGGUCGGACAUCAGGAGGUUAGUGCAAUGGCAUAAGCCAGCUUGACUGCGAGCGUGACGGCGCGAGCAGGUGCGAAAGCAGGUCAUAGUGAUCCGGUGGUUCUGAAUGGAAGGGCCAUCGCUCAACGGAUAAAAGGUACUCCGGGGAUAACAGGCUGAUACCGCCCAAGAGUUCAUAUCGACGGCGGUGUUUGGCACCUCGAUGUCGGCUCAUCACAUCCUGGGGCUGAAGUAGGUCCCAAGGGUAUGGCUGUUCGCCAUUUAAAGUGGUACGCGAGCUGGGUUUAGAACGUCGUGAGACAGUUCGGUCCCUAUCUGCCGUGGGCGCUGGAGAACUGAGGGGGGCUGCUCCUAGUACGAGAGGACCGGAGUGGACGCAUCACUGGUGUUCGGGUUGUCAUGCCAAUGGCACUGCCCGGUAGCUAAAUGCGGAAGAGAUAAGUGCUGAAAGCAUCUAAGCACGAAACUUGCCCCGA